rnacentral:tRNA from 1 species
GGGGAUUUGGCUUAGUGGUAGAGCGCUUGCCUAGCAAGCACAAGGCUCUGGGUUCGGUCCCCAGCUCCG